rnacentral:rRNA from 1 species
UACGUAGGAGGCAAGCGUUGUCCGGAAUUACUGGGCGUAAAGCGCGUGUAGGUGGUGGGACAAGUCUGCUGUGAAAGCGCCUGGCUUAACCGGGCGAGGUCGGCGGAAACUGUCCGACUAGAGGACGGUAGAGGGGGGUGGAAUUCCCGGUGUAGUGGUGAAAUGCGUAGAGAUCGGGAGGAACACCAGCGGCGAAGGCGAACCGCCUGGACGGCUACUGGACGCUGAGA